GGCGCCAUCGUCUAGUUGGUUAGGACAAGAGGCUUUCAAUCUCUAAACACGGGUUCGAAUCCCGUUGGCGCUA
rnacentral:tRNA from 1 species